GUACACUCCUGCGGGAGGCAGCAGUGGGGAAUUUUGGACAAUGGGCGAAAGCCUGAUCCAGCAAUGCCGCGUGUGUGAAGAAGGCCUUCGGGUUGUAAAGCACUUUUGUCCGGAAAGAAAUCCUUGGCUCUAAUACAGUCGGGGGAUGACGGUACCGGAAGAAUAAGCACCGGCUAACUACGUGCCAGCAGCCGCGGUAAUACGUAGGGUGCGAGCGUUAAUCGGAAUUACUGGGCGUAAAGCGUGCGCAGGCGGUUUGCUAAGACCGAUGUGAAAUCCCCGGGCUCAACCUGGGAACUGCAUUGGUGACUGGCAGGCUAGAGUAUGGCAGAGGGGGGUAGAAUUCCACGUGUAGCAGUGAAAUGCGUAGAGAUGUGGAGGAAUACCGAUGGCGAAGGCAGCCCCCUGGGCCAAUACUGACGCUCAUGCACGAAAGCGUGGGGAGCAAACAGGAUUAGAAACCCGGGUAGUCCC
rnacentral:rRNA from 1 species